AGGCCCAUAGCUCAGGGGUUAGAGCACCGUUCUUAUAAAGCGGGGGUCGCGGGUUCAAAUCCCGCUGGGCCUA
rnacentral:tRNA from 1 species